rnacentral:rRNA from 1 species
GAUGAACGCUGGCGGCGUGCCUAAUACAUGCAAGUCGAGCGAACAGACGAGGAGCUUGCUCCUCUGACGUUAGCGGCGGACGGGUGAGUAACACGUGGAUAACCUACCUAUAAGACUGGGAUAACUUCGGGAAACCGGAGCUAAUACCGGAUAAUAUAUUGAACCGCAUGGUUCAAUAGUGAAAGACGGUUUUGCUGUCACUUAUAGAUGGAUCCGCACCGCAUUAGCUAGUUGGUAAGGUAACGGCUUACCAAGGCAACGAUGCGUAGCCGACCUGAGAGGGUGAUCGGCCACACUGGAACUGAGACAAGGUACAGACGCCUAAGGGAGGCAGCAGUAGGGAAUCUGCCGCAAUGGGCGAAAGCCUGACGGAGCAACGCAGCGUGAGUGAUGAAGGUCUUCGGAUCGUAAAACUCUGUUAUUAGGGAAGAACAAAUGUGUAAGUAAAUAUGCACGUCUUGACGGUACCUAAUCAGAAAGCCACGGCUAACUACGUG